rnacentral:lncRNA from 1 species
GGCUUGUAAUGGUGACGUGAGUGUCGACUGGGAGGGAGUUGGCCAGAUGGGGCCACUUCUGGAUUGUGCCCGGCCUGUCGUGGCGGAGUCGCUGGAGGUUCUGAAGGGGUUGGGUGGAGAAGAUAUUGUUGGUGACAGCGUGGCAUGGGACCCUCCCCAAGCAUGGAAGUGUGUGUUGUCGAACUGUGGUCGGACACGCAAUGUUGCUCCUAGCGGAGGACCGGUGGAGGAUGAAAUGAACGAAGGGAGUUCCUCGGCAUAGCCAGAGCCGGGUUUGCCUUAUUAUUUUGUUUUUGGGUCCUUUUUUAUGUUCUUAAACUUUCUGGUUUGUGUAUAUUUUUCAUUGGUGUUUUUAAUCGUUUAACCUUUUUGGUUGUUUAAGUUCUUAAUCC